AACGUAGGAGACAAACGUUAUCCGGAGUUACUGGGCGUAAAGGGCGUGUAGGCGGUUCGUUAAGUCUGGCGUGAAAGCUCUCGGCUAAACCGGGAGAGGUCGUUGGAUACUGGCGGACUAGAGGACGGUAGAGGCGUGUGGAAUUCCGGGUGUAGUGGUGAAAUGCGUAGAGAUCCGGAGGAGCACCAGUGGCGAAGGCGACACGCUGGGCCGUACCUGACGCUAAAGCGCGACAGCAUGGGGAGCAAACGGG
rnacentral:rRNA from 1 species